rnacentral:lncRNA from 1 species
AUACUCCCUCUGUAACUGACAAGUCAUUUCUCAAGGGUCAGUCAGAACACCUGUUAAUCCAGGUUUCAGGUGAGACCAAAAAAGUGCCUCACACACUUCUGAUUCAUUCUCCUCUGCAUUGAAGCCAUGAAGUGGGUAAAGUUCUUUGCCUAUCUCACCUUCUUUCAUUCAGAAGUAAUAUCAGAUAUCCAGUUGGAACAAGACCAAACCCUGACUGCCCAUGUUGGAAGAACUAUCACCUUACAUUGCACCUUGAAAGGAGGGGACUUGAAAAGCCAUCAAAUGAGCUGGUACAAAAAAAAAAUGACUUUCAUGGAAAUGUAUUUUGCAUGCCUAUACAUGUACAACCUAUGUCAAAGCAGAAAUAAGGAAGAAGAUGAAGAAAGAGAAUCUGGAAGUCAAAUUUUUUUUAAAAAAUUGUUGUUUUAUAUGUAAUUGAGAAAAAUAAAAUAUUAAACAAGGGAA